UGGGCUCUUUGCUGACGAGUGGCGGACGGGUGAGUAAUGUCUGGGAAACUGCCUGAUGGAGGGGGAUAACUACUGGAAACGGUAGCUAAUACCGCAUAACGUCGCAAGACCAAAGAGGGGGACCUUCGGGCCUCUUGCCAUCGGAUGUGCCCAGAUGGGAUUAGCUUGUUGGUGGGGUAACGGCUCACCAAGGCGACGAUCCCUAGCUGGUCUGAGAGGAUGACCAGCCACACUGGAACUGAGACACGGUCCAGACUCCUACGGGAGGCAGCAGUGGGGAAUAUUGCACAAUGGGCGCAAGCCUGAUGCAGCCAUGCCGCGUGUAUGAAGAAGGCCUUCGGGUUGUAAAGUACUUUCAGCGGGGAGGAAGGGAGUAAAGUUAAUACCUUUACUCAUUGACGUUACCCGCAGAAGAAGCACCGGCUAACUCCGUGCCAGCAGCCGCGGUAAUACGGAGGGUGCAAGCGUUAAUCGGAAUUACUGGGCGUAAAGCGCACGCAGGCGGUUUGUUAAGUCAGAUGUGA
rnacentral:rRNA from 1 species